GACGAACCGUGCGAACGUUAUUCGGAAUUACUGGGCUUAAAGGGCGCGUAGGCGGUCCGGCGCGUCCGGGGUGAAAGCCUCCAGCUCAACUGGAGAAGUGCCCCGGAUACGGCCGGACUCGAGUGGGGUAGGGGCGUGUGGAACUUCCGGUGGAGCGGUGAAAUGCGUAGAUAUCGGAAGGAACGCCGGUGGCGAAAGCGGCACGCUGGACCCCUUCUGACGCUGAGGCGCGAAAGCCAGGGGAGCGAACGGG
rnacentral:rRNA from 1 species